GAGCGACGCCUGCACCGCUUCGGCCGCAGAGAAAGCGAGCAGCGAGCCCUCCUUGGCCAAGAAGGCUUUGCCGUCUUCCGCAUCCGCUUGGAGCGCCUCGGCUUUGUCGAAGUUGCCGCCUCCGGGCAGUGGCUGUGGAGCGAACUUGCGGGCAGCCGCCGCCUCUUGGUGCUGGGGCGACGCAGAGAAGCCGCCGGGCAGAGUGGCCAUGAGCGUGGAGCGGGCGCUGCAUCAUCAUCAGCGACGGCGGGAACGCUGCGCUCAUAGACGCGUUCGGGAGAAGCCAGGGAGAGACGAAAAGUCCCCGUGUCCCGCCGCCGCCUGGAAGCCCUCCGGACGCUGGGAGUACCACCGGGAACUCCGGGCAGGGGCUGAGCGGUGCCCAGAGCGCAGACGCCGCCGCCGCCCCUCAGUGCAGGACCCGCAGCAUACCCGGCCUGCACGGGUGCAGCCACCGAGCGCGAUGAGGCCGUGCGCCCGGGAUGGAGAGGGCGCCGGGGACCUCGCGUUCGCCGGAACCGCUCCCGGCUGCUAGCCCGUCGGAACGCGCGCGCUUCGCGUCUGCAGGUCUCGGCCCAGCUACCAGCAGUGCGUGCGUCCGUCCGUCUGUCCGUCCUGCAGUCCGUCGUCUCCCACGGGCGGCUGGGGAGCGCGCGAAGCCGGCGCACUUGUCUCUGGCGGGCGCCGCCAGCACCUUUAAAUCGCGCUCCUCUUUCUCAUUCACAUUUUGCCAGCUGCCCAGCGGAGCUCGUGUCACGUGGGACCGAGCACCAACUCCUAUUUGCUAUUCAGGGGAAGGCGGGGCGAAAUUAGGGCUCCGCCCCCUUCACCCAGGCGGGCCGCAAAUGGGCUACCGGCGCCACGGUUGGAGCGUGCUGGCCUGGGAGCUGGAGCCUUUGCACCGCGCGGAGCAAACUUAAGAGGGACCCUUGCUACCUACCCGACUCAGACCCUAGAGUCCCUGGCAUCCCUGUGGAGGCCUCAUGAGAGGCGGCUUGGAACUGGCACCCGCCACCGAUGGGCCGGGAGUGUUUUACUACAGCAGAACCCUGUGUGAUGCUCACCUUAACCAGGGGCGCUCUGGUUGUGCCAAGGGUCCGGGCAAGGUCUCCGGAUAGCGUUUAAGGUCUUGCCUCUGCAGGUCUGCUCCCAGAGGUGCGCCUGGGCCUGUCAGCCCUUGCUCACACGACACGGAAGCUGAAUGGUUGCUUGCGGCCCGCUGGUGGCAGCGGGGCGGCCGGCGGUGGUCUCCCUCAUUCCUGGUUGGGCCCUCCGUGAGCGAUCCCUGCUCAUUUUUCAUGACAUUCUUAAUCAUCGCAUCUAUUUACCCACUUUGCCAGCGUACACCAAAAUAACAGCCACGAUAAUUAUG
ensembl:processed_transcript D130058E05Rik RIKEN cDNA D130058E05 gene